UACGUAGGGACCAAGCGUUGUUCGGAUUUACUGGGCGUAAAGGGCGCGUAGGCGGCCAUUCAAGUCAGUUGUGAAAUCUCCUAGCUUAACUCGGAACGGUCAACUGAUACUGUUUUGCUAGAGUGCAGAAAGGGCAACCGGAAUUCUUGGUGUAGCGGUGAAAUGCGUAGAUAUCAAGAGGAACACCUGAGGCGAAGGCGGGUUGCUAGGCUGACACUGACGCUGAGGCGCGAAAGCUAGGGUAGCAAACGGG
rnacentral:rRNA from 1 species